AGUUGUUGUGGGAUGUACAUGGUAGUUUGGUUCUUCGUAUGGUUUUGAGUGAUAUAACUUGUACACACUGGGUGCAUAAUAAUGUAAAGGUACACUGAAUAGUAUUAAUGACCAACAGCAACAAACAGAUCUCCUCAAGGUAAGUCUGUUGGCUGUGUUUUGAUGAAGACCAUCGCUAGACUUCAGGAUCUUCCUCCGUUCAGCUCAAGGUGAGGCACUGGUUCUGUUUUUUCUUUGGUUGGUUCCGGCCGGAAUGUUCGGAUUCCAGUCGGACGGUUUGUGCUUCCCGCCGUGGAAGGUUCUGAGUGCGGUCACUUGAUUUAGUACCAAUGGUUUGCAUAGAACGUUGUAGUCUUGACAACCAUAAGAAACCACCUGGCAGUUAGUUGGACGGGAGUCCCCUGAGGGAAUGUGGCGGAACGUUCUGGAUUGUAUUUGCGUAACCUCGAGCCGUUGCCAACGGGAAAAAAAAAUUCAGUCGGUUUCCAUUGGGAAUUGUUGCCCCCUAUCUUAAAUGACGAAAGUUUGAUAUUAAAUACAUACUAGCACGUACGUCGUACAAUAUGUUGAUAAUUUCCGAUGGUUGCGCCGUACUUUUAACCACAAUGACGUUGCGGGACUCUCACUGCGUACAAAACAGCGUUCUACUUGCGGGCCCAUCAGGGAAGGCUUAAAAACAUUUCAAGGUGGAAGAUAAUUUGAAAUUUCUUCAACGGAACCCAGCACCUGAAUAUGGCUGAGUAUAUUCGAUUUAAUAUCAAUACUGCUUAGUGUUCUUUGUUACUUCAGCUUUUGUACGUUCUAAAUAUCUGCUGUCAUUAAUUGCCACAGAAGUUAAACCCUACCAAUGGAAUGAAGUUAAACAACGACUUUGGUGCAGAGCUAACAACUGGAUAAUAUAAAAGCUAAAAUAAUGGCCGUCAUUCCCACAUGUUACAGUAGAAGAUACUCUACAACUGUACAAGGUUAAAAAGGUAACAUGUAGUUUGUCCCAAGGUGUCUGCCUCCUCACCCAGAGCAAGACCUCCACCUCCUCACCCAGAGCCAGACCUCCACCUCCUCACCCAGAGCCAGACCUCCACCUCCUCACCCAGAGCCAGACCUCCACCUCCUCACCCAGAGCCAGACCUCCACCUCCUCACCCAGAGCCAGACCUCCACCUCCUCACCCAGAGCCAGACCUCCACCUCCUCACCCAGAGCAAGACCUCCACCUCCUCACCCAGAGCCAGACCUCCACCUCCUCACCCAGAGCCAGACCUCCACCUCCUGUCAGAAGUCCUCCAGAACAGCUGAAAGGCGAGGCUGGGGACCGGAGGCUUGUUGUGCCAGGGUGGACCGGAGACUGAGGCUGGAGACCAGAGGCUGUGAGUAAGUGAAGGAGCUGAUGGAGGAGUCGUGCUGAAGGAGCUGAUAGAGGAGCCGUGCUGAAGGCCCAGGGCUGGUGGAGGAGCUUGUGGAGGGCCUGCCUGGUGAAUGACGUCUGUCGUGGGGUAGAUGGAGCUUGACUCUGAAGUGAUCAUCACACUCACUGCCACUUCUCGUAGAAUACUGCUAUAUACCAGACGACUGCAUCUGUUUUACCACAUGUUGAAGCAAGA